AUUGAACGCUGGCGGCAUGCUUUACACAUGCAAGUCGAACGGCAGCGCGGGGGCAACCCUGGCGACGAGUGGCGAACGGGUGAGUAAUACAUCGGAACGUACCCGGUAGUGGGGGAUAGCUCGGCGAAAGCCGGAUUAAUACCGCAUACGACCUACGGGUGAAAGCGGGGGACCGCAAGGCCUCGCGCUAUUGGAGCGGCCGAUGGCAGAUUAGCUUGUUGGUGAGGUAAAGGCUUACCAAGGCGACGAUCUGUAGCUGGUCUGAGAGGACGACCAGCCACACUGGGACUGAGACACGGCCCAGACUCCUACGGGAGGCAGCAGUGGGGAAUUUUGGACAAUGGGCGAAAGCCUGAUCCAGCAAUGCCGCGUGUGUGAUGAAGGCCUUCGGGUUGUAAAGCACUUUUGGUAGGAACGAAACGGUCUGGGCUAAUACCCCGGACUAAUGACGGACC
rnacentral:rRNA from 1 species